rnacentral:rRNA from 1 species
GAUGAACGCUGGCGGCGUGCCUAAUACAUGCAAGUCGAGCGAACGGACGAGAAGCUUGCUUCUCUGAUGUUAGCGGCGGACGGGUGAGUAACACGUGGAUAACCUCCCUAUAAGACUGGGAUAACUUCGGGAAACCGGAGCUAAUACCGGAUAAUAUUUUGAACCGCAUGGUUCAAAAGUGAAAGACGGUCUUGCUGUCACUUAUAGAUGGAUCCGCGCUGCAGUAGCUAGUUGGUAAGGUAACGGCUUACCAAGGCAACGAUGCAUAGCCGACCUGAGAGGGUGAUCGGCCACACUGGAACUGAGACACGGUCCAGACUCCUACGGGAGGCAGCAGUAGGGAAUCUUCCGCAAUGGGCGAAAGCCUGACGGAGCAACGCCGCGUGAGUGAUGAAGGUCUUCGGAUCGUAAAACUCUGUUAUUAGGGAAGAACAUAUGUGUAAGUAACUGUGCACAUCUUGACGGUACCUAAUCAGAAAGCCACGGCUAACUACGUG